CUGAGGGUACGUGUGCUCAUGGCGGGCAAGGUCUGGCGGAAAGAGAAGAGACUAUCGGAGGACGAAAAGCGAGGGGACGAGCGGCACGUUGCACGUGAAAACGUUAAUUGGGGUGACCUGCUCAGAAACUAGUUACGGGAGCACUGUACUGGCAUUCCACGGAUCCCACGCGACAUUGAAUACAUACAUGCAAACGAACGGUUACGGCUAUUUUAUCGAGAAUAAUUGUACGAAGAACAAUUAUUAAAAGUGAGUCUUCUCUCAAGGAUCCUAAGACUUCU
rnacentral:misc_RNA from 1 species